AAAUCCGUUGGCUUUAUGGGCCGUGAGGGUUCAAGUCCCUCUACCCCCA
rnacentral:tRNA from 1 species